rnacentral:rRNA from 1 species
GACGAACGCUGGCGGCGUGCUUAACACAUGCAAGUCGAACGGAAAGGCCCUGCUUUUGUGGGGUGCUCGAGUGGCGAACGGGUGAGUAACACGUGAGUAACCUGCCCUUGACUUUGGGAUAACUUCAGGAAACUGGGGCUAAUACCGGAUAGGAGCUCCUGCUGCAUGGUGGGGGUUGGAAAGUUUCGGCGGUUGGGGAUGGACUCGCGGCUUAUCAGCUUGUUGGUGGGGUAGUGGCUUACCAAGGCUUUGACGGGUAGCCGGCCUGAGAGGGUGACCGGCCACAUUGGGACUGAGAUACGGCCCAGACUCCUACGGGAGGCAGCAGUGGGGAAUAUUGCACAAUGGGCGGAAGCCUGAUGCGGCAACGCCGCGUGCGGGAUGACGGCCUUCGGGUGGUAAACCGCUUUCGCCUGUGACGAAGCGUGAGUGACGGUAAUGGGUAAAGAAGCACCGGCUAACUACGU